rnacentral:rRNA from 1 species
CACUCCUACGGGAGGCAGCAGUGGGGAAUAUUGCACAAUGGGCGCAAGCCUGAUGCAGCCAUGCCGCGUGUAUGAAGAAGGCCUUCGGGUUGUAAAGUACUUUCAGCAGUGAGGAAGGUGGAGUCGUUAAUAGCGGCCUCAUUUGACGUUAGCUGCAGAAGAAGCACCGGCUAACUCCGUGCCAGCAGCCGCGGUAAUACGGAGGGUGCGAGCGUUAAUCGGAAUUACUGGGCGUAAAGCGCAUGCAGGUGGUUUGUUAAGUCAGAUGUGAAAGCCCCGGGGCUCAACCUCGGAAUUGCAUUUGAAACUGGCAGACUAGAGUACUGUAGAGGGGGUAGAAUUUCAGGUGUAGCGGUGAAAUGCGUAGAGAUCUGAAGGAAUACCGGUGGCGAAGGCGGCCCCCUGGACAGAUACUGACACUCAGAUGCGAAAGCGUGGGGAGCAAACAGGAUUAGAUACCCUGGUAG